GUGACUAUUUUUUUCCUAAGUUAACCAAAACAAUAAUAAUGAUGGAAGAUGGCUGAACCUCUGCAGGCUGAGGCUGCAGUGAGCUGUGAUCACACCACUGCACUCCAGCCUUAGUCACAGUAAGACUGCGUUCCUUAAAUAAGAUAGAAAUUAGGAUGGAAGAUGGCUGAACCUCUGCAGGCUGAGGGUGCAGUGAGCUGUGAUGGUACCAUUGCAGUCCAGCCAAGGCGAUAGAGCAAGAUUCUUUCUCAAAAAUAUAAAGUAAAAUAAACAUGAACUCUUUAGCAUAUUUCCCAGUAAUGCCUUCCUCCUAUGUUUUUCCUAGAAGCUCUUGAGUUUUGCUUACUUUCCACAUGCCAUUUAAAACUUCAAUACUGAUGUCCUUGUCAUUCCUUCUUUUAUUUUUCAAGAAUGUCUUUAUGUCACUUCCAGCUGGAUUUACCAUGAAAGACUUCAGAGUCCAGGAAGAGACUGACUGGGCAGCAUGUUACUCAGGAGACGGGGUCUCGCUCUGUCACCUUGGCUGGAGUAGAGUGGUGCAAUCACAGCUCACUGCAGGCUUGAAAUCCUGGGCUGAGGAUUCUCCUGCCUCGGCCUCCGGAGUAGCUGGGACUGUAGGGUCUUGCUCUAUUGUCCAUGCCACAGUGCAGUGGUGCUAUCACAGCUGAAUGCAGCCAUGACCUCCCAGGUUCAAGCGAUCCUCCCACCUCAGCUUCCCAAAUGGCUGAGACUAUAGGUGUUUGCCAUUAUGCCCAACCAGUAUUUCGACUUCUCCUAUACGUGGGCUCCAGAGGGCUGACUGUGAAAUGUGAGUAUGCAUGAAGUUUGGUAUGUGCAGAGAUGGGGAGCUGGAAGUAAUCCUGUCUUUACACUGAGGGGUGACUGUAGAUGUUUUUACAAUUAUGCUGGAGGACACGUAUUGUUCCAUAGCCUUGAAAAUGAUAGUGUUAGUGCCAAAUAUGUUUUAAUUGAGUCGAAUAAUAAUUAAAAAAUAAGCAGCUGGCCAAAUGUGGUGGCUGACACCGGUAAUCACAACACUUUGGGAGGCUGAGGCAGGAGGAUGGCCUGAGGCCAAGAGUCUGAGACAGGCCUCAUUGACAAAGGGAGUCACUACCCCAAUGGAAAAAUACAUGAAUUAGCCUAGCAUAGUGGCAUGUGUCUGUAGUCCCAGCUGCUUGAGUCCAGGGAGGCUGAGACUGCAGUGAGUCAUAAUCAGGCCUCUGCACUCCAGCCUGGGUGACAGAGUGAGACCCUGUCUCAAAACAACAAAAAACCAGCAGCUAACACUAACUGCUCUUUUACCAGGGGCCUAAAAAUACCCUAGUUCAAUUUCUUAUAACUGUUUAUUUCACUUAACCUGUCUUAAAUUACUCCCAGAUUUUCAGUGUUUGUGCAGAUGACUUUUGGUUUAGGUUGAAUUGUCUCCCAAGGUAUUUCCAGAAGUGGGAGUACUGUGAGUCACGGUGAAUGGACAUUCUCAUUUCCCUUGAUGUAAAUUGACAAGGUUUUGGGUGCCUCCCAGCUAUAAUCCCGGCACUAAGCCUAAGGAGGGAGGGAGGCUAAGGCAGGAGGAUUGCUUGAGGCCAGCAGUAUGGUGAGACACUGUCUCUAUUACUUAAAACAAUUACUGAGCUUUACCUUGGAAGGAUUAUGUACAAUUUAAACAUCCCCCACAGUAUAAGAAAGUGCCCACUUCACCGUACCUUUCCCAGCACAUGGUAUUAUACUUUAAUAAGUUACUUUAUUAUUUUAAAUAGAUAAAAACCUCAUUUGCUUUAUUUAUUUGUCACAUUUCAACACCUUUCCUUAGCUUAGCUUAUUAGCUCUAUUUCUCUGCCUGUAAAUGGUUGUCCUUGUUAUUUUGUUCUGAGACAGGGUCUUGCUCUGUCACCCAGGCUUGACUGUAGUGGCAUAAUCAUGACUCACUGCAGCCCUGACCUCCCAGGCUCAAACUACCCUCCCUCUCCAGCUUUCUGAGUAGCUGGGACUACAAGUGUGCAACUCCACACCCGGCCAAGUUUUUUCUUUUUGUGGAUAGAGACAGGGUCUCGCUCUGCUGCCCAGGCCGGUCUCUAGCUCCUGGCCUCAGCAGUCCUCCUGUAUUGUCCUGUUAGGUUGCUGGAAUUUCAGGCAUGAGCCACCAUGCCUGGCAUUGACCAGUCCUAUAUUCUCUAGAGCUCUUUACUUUGUGCUAGCCAAUCUCUCAUUAUGCUGCUCCCCGUUAUAAUGAAUAAUUCUCAUAUUAAAUUUUACCACUUUAAACUUUUGAGUGGUUUAUGCCUCCUGAUUGCACUCUAUUAAAGAGCUGAUUCUAGGAAGGGUCCCAGGAGAUAGACCCACACAGAUGGGAUUCGGGCAUAGGUUUGGUUUUCCAAGGGGCAGUGCCAAGCUCCUUGCCAAUGGGAAAUGGGACACUGCUGAUUUCGAGGAGGGACCUUAUGACUCAAGCUACCACUUACUGUCGAUUGUGAUGAAAUGCCAGCUGAGGCCCAUGCUUUGGGAGCUAAGUGGUUGUUGCAGUUGACCACUGUAAUGACUGGGGUGGAAAGGGUCCUUUUGGAUGUACUUGAGCAGAGGUCCCCAAACCCGGAGCCAUGGAGCUGUAAGGAGCCACACAGCAGGAGGUGAGUGAUGUCUAGUGAGGGAAGCUUCACAUUCCUGCCUGAGCUCUGCCUUCUCUCAGAUCAGCAGCAACAUUAGAUUGUCUUAGGAGCAUGAACCCCAUUGUGAACCAUGCAUGCCAGGGAUCAAGGUUGCGUGGUCCCUGUGAGAAUAAUGCCUGAUGAUCUGUCACUUUCUCCUGUCACACUCAGAUGGGACCGUCUAGCUCAGGAAAACAAGCUUAAUGGACACUAAUUCUAAAUUAUGGUGAGCUCUGUAAUUAUUUCAUCACAUAUUACAAUGUAAUAAUGGAAAUAAAGUGCCCAAUAAACGUAAUGUGCUUGAAUCUUUUGGCUGCGCUCCUGCCUCCUCGCAGCCUUUCCAGGCCCAGAACUUUUUCCAUGUCGGCCUCCACAGCUCAUGGCUCACAAUGGCCUAUUUAGGCCCAUACCCUACCUCAUGGUAGUCUUUGCAGUUGAGGCUACCGCCUCGCAGCAGUGUCCACAAGCCCAGCUCCUCCCUUACAGUGGCCUUUCUAGUUCCAGCUCCUGACUCUGGGUGGCCUAUCCAGGCCCAAAGUGUCCACAAGUCAGCCUCUCAGGUCCCAGAUCUUCCUCCCAGCUGUGCCUAGAGGCCCAGCACCUGCCUCACAACAACCUCUUUCAUCUCAGCUCCUGCCUAGCUCCUGGUGACAUUUUUAGGCCCAAAACUACCUCAAGUCAAGCUCUCCAGGUCUAGGUUCAGCCUCUCAAUGACUUGGACAGGCCCAGCUCCUGAGUGACAGUGGCCUCUCCAGGCCUGGCUUUGCCUCAUGGAGGUCUUCCCCGAACAACUUUUUAACCUGCCUCCUGGCAGCCUCGACAGGCCCAGGUCCUGCCCAUAAACAGGCUCUCCAGGCUGGAGUCUUCCUCAAGUUGGCAACUCCAGGACAAGCACUUGCCUCACACUGGGCUCUUUAGGCUCAGCUUAUGCCUCUUGGCAGCCUCCCCAGGCAAAGCUACUGAAUGCCGGCAGCCUGUACAGGCCCAGGUCCUCACUCUCAUCUGCCUCUACAGGCCUAACCUCUGCCUCACAGCAGACUCUUCACGUCCAGCAUCUGCCUCAUGAUGGCCCCAAGAAGCCAAGCUCCUGCCUUUCAGCAGCCUCUACACACCCAGUUCCUGCCACCCCAUGGCCUCUUUAGGCCAAGAUCAGGCCUCACAGGUGUCUUUCCGGAUGAAGAUUUUGCCUCAUGGGAACCUUCCCUGGCUAGGUGGCUGUCUGUUCCCUGGAAGCCUGGAUAGGCCCAGGUCCUGCCCAUACUGGCAUCUCUGUGCAAAACUUUGAACUCACAAUGGCAUCUCCAGCUGCAGCUUUGGUCCUGGACGGCGUCUCCAGGCACAAAACUUCCACCCACUUACUGUCUCCCGGUGGCCUCUGAAUGCCCAGCACCUGCCUCCCACUGACCUCUGAAAACCCAGGCUCUUUUCAUUGCAGAUUUUCCAGGCCCAACUCUGUCUUGGCUGAGGAUACAGGAACACUUGCUGCCUCAUAACAACUUCUUUUGGCCCAGCUCCUGACAGUUUGCCAAGGGCCAAUAUAUGCCCAAAACGUCCUUAAGUCAACCUUUCCAGACCCAACCUCUCUCUCCCAGUGGCAUGUAAAGGCUCAGCUUUAGCAUGAAAAAGGCCUCUGCACCACCCACGCUUUACUUCUCGAAGACCUUUAGAGGUGUCUCUGGACCCAGAUCGUGCUUCUGCUUUCAUGGCCUCUCCAGGCGCAGGUGCUACCUCCCGGCAAUCCUCCGGGCCCAGCUCUUCCUCCUGGCUGCAUCUACAGACCCAGCUCCUGCCUCACAACGACAACGUUUGGCCCCACUCCUACCCAGCUCCGCAGACCUCAGCCUUCCUCAGGUCGGGCUUUCCAGGCCCGUCCUCUGUGUCAUGUCCACCUCUCAAGGUGCAGCUUCUGUUUCACAGCAGCCUCUUUUAGCCGAGCUCCUGCCUCGCCGUGGCCUCUUCAGGCUUAUCUUCUGCCUCUUAGUGGACACUCAAGGCCCAUCUCCUCUCUCACGGUGGUCUUUUGUGUCCCGCACUUGCCUUUCAGUGGUCUCUUCUGGAUCCAGCUCUACAGGUGUUUGAUUGUCAACUGCAUCCUGAAGCCCAAAGCUUCCCUGGACUCUCAUGAGUUCACUUCCCAGCAGCCUUAGCUAAAGGCCUGAGUCUACUUUUACCUUGAGAGGGGAUUUCUGCCGGCUUGGUAGUAAACUCUGCUGUAUCUUUCUACA